rnacentral:rRNA from 1 species
AGCGAACGCUGGCGGCAGGCUUAACACAUGCAAGUCGAGCGGGCGUAGCAAUACGUCAGCGGCAGACGGGUGAGUAACGCGUGGGAACAUACCUUUUGGUUCGGAACAACCCAGGGAAACUUGGGCUAAUACCGGAUAAGCCCUUACGGGGAAAGAUUUAUCGCCGAAAGAUUGGCCCGCGUCUGAUUAGCUAGUUGGUGAGGUAAUGGCUCACCAAGGCGACGAUCAGUAGCUGGUCUGAGAGGAUGAUCAGCCACAUUGGGACUGAGACACGGCCCAAACUCCUACGGGAGGCAGCAGUGGGGAAUAUUGGACAAUGGGGGCAACCCUGAUCCAGCCAUGCCGCGUGAGUGAUGAAGGCCCUAGGGUUGUAAAGCUCUUUUGUGCGGGAAGAUAAUGACGGUACCGCAAGAAUAAGCCCCGGCUAACUUCGUGCCAGCCGCCGCCGUAAUAC